rnacentral:lncRNA from 1 species
UAUAUUAUAGAAAACCCUAUAAUAUAUCCGGGAAUUAUCAACCCUAGGCUUAAAAAAGUUUAAUCCUACUUUCGAUUACAACUCUUUCGUUAUGUUUUGUUUAUACGUGUGUAUGGGUAAAAGUUAAAACGCAAAUAUAGGUCUAAUGGCGACUUAACAUAAUCUAGAGCGUUCUUUUCUAUACGGAAUUUAAAACAGUAAACAUGUGCAAAAGUGAAUCUUAACAAAUUAUUAACAAGUAGUGAAAACGUGGUCCAAGUUUUUCUUAAAAUUAAAAUUCCACAUUGCGAUAAGGCUAACAAAAUUAUUUCUACAAAAAGAAUUGAUAAACUGCAGAUUAUUUGGACUGAAAUCAUUAUAUAUCACUAUUAAUAUCAUAUAUUGCAAGAAGCUGUGGCAAAUCUGAAAUCACUUGGCGUCUAAGUUUCUCCCAAAACUCAUCAAGAUCUCGUUUAAUCCACGAUAACAAGAUUUACCAGGCUGCUAUUAGAUAUUCUUUACGGAUCCAACUUUAUAACCUUGAUCAACUCCAUCAGAUCAAAAAUCGCGUGGCCACAUGUGAUACAUCUACUUCAAGCUCAACUCUGAACAAUUCAACAACUAUAUUUAGCAUAGACUAGUGGCGAUAUAAUCUAGGAACUUAUAAGACCUCAUUUUUAAACUCUUCCACCAAAUACCCAAGAACCAGGGGUCAACACCUUCAUCUCAUAAACCAGAUUUUCAUCACCUAAUCCUCGUGGAGUCAGAUAAAACCAAUUUUACGUUUCAACAUCUUGCUAUAACUUUUCCAAAUUUGCCAUUUAAAACUAUUUAAUUUAAUUGAAUCCGAAAUUAGUCAUUAAAUUUUAUCUACAACUACUUAUAACUACAUUCUCGGAUAUGAAAACUAUAAAUUAACUUAAAAUCUAAAACUAACAUGUUAAAAAGUUAACCUAAAACUAAAUUUACGACAUCAUAAUCUAGAAAUGAACUAUUGAAAUUACAAUAGUACAUUGCUUUUGAUUAAAAUUACAAAUUUAGACCUUAUAAAAAAAGUAUUUUUAAAUUAACACCAUGUGAUUUCUAAAAAUUAAAUAAGCAUUCUCAAAUAUGUCUUUAAAAUUUAUCUAAACUAUCAUAGUAUAGUAAUACAAAAUGGUAUAAAUAGUUGGUUAUUCUGAAUUUUGUUUGAUUUAAUAAUGUCUUAUGAACCAUAUAUUGUAUCAUCAUUCAAAUAUAUAACUCUAUUCUAACUUAAAUAUUUAAAAUUUUGGCUUAAAACCUAGUUUAUCGAAAUCUAAAUCAUAAUUUAAUACUAAUAUCACAAAUUUUAUAACAAUGUUUUAACAAAGUAUGUAAAAACUAAACUUUAUAUAUUAUACCUAAAAACACUUAAAACUAAUAUCACAUUUUAUCACAAUAAGUUAACAUGCAUUAAAAUUAUUAUUCGAAUCCUAAACCUCUACUACUAUGAUUCUAAACAUUUAUGUUAUAUGAAUAUUUACUAAUACUUUGGCAAACUACCUAAUGCAAGAAUAUGUGUAAUUAACGAAACUUUUCUAAACAACACCCACAUCAGCUAGUUCCUGUUGGAGGCCUUCACCAGUUACAACAUAUGAUGCG